GGGGCGUGACAAUUAAUAUGGUAUCAGAGCAUAAGUAGAUAGAUAAAGACAUGUAGAAUAGAAUGAGCGAGUGAUGGGUAGAUAUUAGGAAAUUUGAGAGGUUAGUUAUGAUAAUUAUGAUCUGACCUGUCUCAAGUAAGUUUAUAACCUUAUUAAGGAUAAGUUAUUAUCUCAAAUUUGUCAUAAAUCAAAAUACCUCCACGACGAACGAAGAAUACUCAAGGAGCGAUAGGAGGAACAUCAAAUCUACUUGAUGAUAAUACUCCCCAAUUGAAUAGCGGCACAUCUCAGCAGGAGGGAAUCCUUGAUCCUACCAAAAAUACUCCAACAGUACAGGAGGAGCCGAACAUGACUCAACUAAUGCAAACUCUGAUCGGAGUAGUUCAAACACAACAACAGUUACUUCAACAACAACAUGCACAGCCACAUCAGCAUUUUCCACCGACACCUGGACAUGGAGAACAUCCGAUGCAGAGAAACAAUAUUGUCGAGUUUAAGAAGCUAGCCCCUCCAGCCUUCAAAGGG
rnacentral:lncRNA from 1 species